rnacentral:misc_RNA from 1 species
GAAAUGCGAUAAUUAAUGUGAAUUGCAGAAUUCAGUGAAUCAUCGAGUCUUUGAACGCACAUUGCGCCCCCUGGUAUUCCGGGGGGCAUGCCUGUCCGAGCGUCAUUGCUGCCCUCAAGCACGGCUUGUGUGUUGGGCUUCCGUCCCUGGCAACGGGGACGGGCCCAAAAGGCAGUGGCGGCACCAUGUCUGGUCCUCGAGCGUAUGGGGCUUUGUCACCCGCUCCCGUAGGUCCAGCUGGCAGCUAGCCUCGCAACUAAUCUUUUUAACCAGGUUGACCUCGGAUCAGGUAGGGAUACCCGCUGAACUUAAGC